ensembl:snRNA U6 U6 spliceosomal RNA
GUGCUCGCUUCACCAGCACAUAUACUAAAAAUUGAAACGAUACAGAGAUUAGCAUGGCCCCUGAGCAAG